rnacentral:rRNA from 1 species
UACAGAGGUCCCAAGCGUUGUUCGGAUUUACUGGGCGUAAAGGGUGCGUAGGUGGCAUAUAUAGUCUGAUGUGAAAUCUUGAAGCUUAACUUCGAAACUGCAUUGGAAACUUAUGUGCUAGAGUAGUGUAGGGGAGACUGGAAUGCUCGGUGUAGCAGUGAAAUGCGUAGAUAUCGAGCGGAACACCAGUGGCGAAGGCGAGUCUCUGGACACUUACUGACACUGAGGCACGAAAGCCAAGGGAGCAAACGGG